UGGACUCUGAAUCCAGCGAUCCGAGUU
rnacentral:piRNA from 8 species